UUUCAUGGAAGUCGGAUUGGCUGAGAGGGACUCUGUGAUUGAAGACAGCCAGAAUGAUGAGCAUGAUCAUGAGGCCAAAGGCUGGUAAAGAGACUAUGGAAGUGAAGACAUUGCCUUCGCAUGCCAUUUUUGCACACAUAGAGACAGAGAGAGAGAGAUGACCAGGACUUCUUUGACUGCAACUCGAAGUGGGUUUAGAUAGAGAGAGAGAGAGAGAGAGAGAGAGAGAGAGAGGGAGAGAAUCUUGAAACUGACACUGCUGAAUUGCAAAUUUGCCACUUUCAGGAAGCGUUAUGGAGGUUAUUUGCAGAGAAAUAGAGACGGCUGGAAACGAAGUGUCUCCUUCUCACUACCAACUCUGUCCUUUCUUCAGUGGAUUGGCAAAGGGGAGAGAGAGAGAGAGAGAGAN
rnacentral:lncRNA from 1 species